CCUACGGGUGGCAGCAGUGGGGAAUAUUGCACAAUGGGGGAAACCCUGAUGCAGCGACGCCGCGUGAGUGAAGAAGUAUCUCGGUACGUAAAGCUCUAUCAGCAGGGAAGAAAAUGACGGUAACUGACUAUGCAGCCCCGGCUAACUACGUGCCAGCAGCCGCGGUAAUACGUAGGGGGAAAGCGUUCUCCGGAUUUACUGGGUGUAAAGGGAGCGUAGACGGCAGCACAAGUAUGGUGUGAAAUCCCGGGGCUGAACCCCGGAAGUGCAUUGGAAACUGUGCGGCUGGAGGGCAGGAGGGGUAAGCGGAAUUCCAAGUGUAGCGGUGAAAUGCGUAGAGAGUAGGAGGAACACCAGUGGCGAAGGCGGCUUUCUGGACUGUAACUGACGUUGAGGCGCGAAAGCGUGGGGAGCAAACAGGAUUAGAUACCCCUGUAGUC
rnacentral:rRNA from 1 species